AUCUUCGCCAUCUCCUGUAAUCAGGUCAAUGCCCUGCUCUGUGAGCUCUAUGGUGUUAUGUUUUUCGUCGAUGGUGAAGUAGAGUACCUUAUCGGCCUGUGGCAUCUGCUUCUGGUUAUCGGCCAGGUACACGUUUUCGGUACGCUGCAGUGCCUGGCGGAUGCCUGGUUCACUUAAGUACUUAAUAAGCGGCUUAUACUUUGGCAUACCCCUGUAGGCACGGAAAAGUGCAAGGCCGGCUUCAUCAUCUUUUAUGUUGGCACUAAGUCCUUUUUUAGCCUCCUGCAGCAAACUGGUUACCAGCUUGCGCUGUGCCUCUACCAGUCGGCUUACACGGGGCUUCAGGUCAUAGAAUUCAUGCUCAUCGCCUCGAGGCACCGGACCG
rnacentral:misc_RNA from 1 species